UUUUCUUUUUUCUUUUUCUCCUUUUUUUCCCUGUAACUUUCGUUCUUUGUUCCCUUUCUUUUGUCAAUUCUCACAAAGACACAAACUGCUAAAACCCUUACUAUCUUUCUCCAUUUUUUCUCACUUCUCUGGCCGCCGCACCGAGACACGCCUGUCGCCACUGCUCACAGACGAGGCCAUGAAAGCGACGCCAACGAUCUGCUGCUAGCCUGCGUCGAACUCGAGUGUACUAGUGUGUGACCCUGAAAAGUUUGGAGCAUUUUGUAAUUUUUAUCAAAAAAAAAAUGUAUUGUAUCUUGACAUUUAAUUGAAGUUAUGUAUUGUUGUAUCGGAUUAUUUUA